GCCGGGCGUGGUGGUGCAUGCCUGUAGUCCCAGCUACUCGGGAGGCUGAGGCAGGAGAAUCACUUGAACCUGGGAGGCAGAGGUUGCAGUGAGCAGUGAGCUGAGAUCAUGUCACCGCACUCUAGCCUGGGUGAAAGAGUGAGACUCUGUCUCCA
rnacentral:SRP_RNA from 1 species